rnacentral:tRNA from 1 species
UCCCGUUCGUCUAGAGGCCUAGGACACCGCCCUUUCACGGCGGCAACACGGGUUCGAAUCCCGUACGGGA